ACCUCUUUCUCCCCUCUCUCUCCAGAUGAAAUCUCGCGUCUUGUGACGGCCGGCCGCCCAACAACCUGCCCGCUUGACCCUAUCCCCUCCUCUCUUCUCCAGACCAUUUCCGGAGACCUUCUCCCUUACCUCACCUCGCUCAUCAACUCAUCCCUGACCGCUGGCUACGUCCCUCCCGUCUUCAAGAGAGCGAGAGUUGCACCCCUUCUGAAAAAACCUACACUCGAUCCCUCCGAUGUCAACAACUACAGACCAACCUAUCGGCUGCCUUCGAUACUGUGAACCAUCAGAUCCUCCUCUCCACCCUCUCCGAGUUGGGCAUCUCCGGCGCGGCCCACGCUUGGAUUGCGUCCUACCUGACAGGUCGCUCCUACCAGGUGGCGUGGCGAGAAUCC